AUUGAACGCUGGCGGCAUGCCUUACACUUGCAAGUCGCACGGCAGCACGGAGCUUGCUCUGGUGGCGAGUGGCGAACGGGUGAGUAAUAUAUCGGAACGUACCCUAGAGUGGGGGAUAACGUAGCGAAAGUUACGCUAAUACCGCAUACGAUCUAAGGAUGAAAGUGGGGGAUCGCAAGACCUCAUGCUCGUGGAGCGGCCGAUAUCUGAUUAGCUAGUUGGUAGGGUAAAAGCCUACCAAGGCAUCGAUCAGUAGCUGGUCUGAGAGGACGACCAGCCACACUGGAACUGAGACACGGUCCAGACUCCUACGGGAGGCAGCAGUGGGGAAUUUUGGACAAUGGGCGAAAGCCUGAUCCAGCAAUGCCGCGUGAGUGAAGAAGGCCUUCGGGUUGUAAAGCUCUUUUGUCAGGGAAGAAACGGUGGGAGCUAAUAUCUCUUGCUAAUGACGGUACCUGAAGAAUAAGCACCGGCUAACUACGUGCCAGCAGCCGCGGUAAUACGUAGGGUGCAAGCGUUAAUCGGAAUUACUGGGCGUAAAGCGUGCGCAGGCGGUUUUGUAAGUCUGAUGUGAAAUCCCCGGGCUCAACCUGGGAAUUGCAUUGGAGACUGCAAGGCUAGAAUCUGGCAGAGGGGGGUAGAAUUCCCACGUGUAGCAGUGAAAUGCGUAAAUUUGUGGAGGAACACCCGAUGGCGAAGGCAGCCCCCUGGGUCAAGAUUGACGCUCAUGCACGAAAGCGUGGGGAGCAAACAGGAUUAGAUACCCUGGUAGUCCACGCCCUAAACGAUGUCUACUAGUUGUCGGGUCUUAAUUGACUUGGUAACGCAGCUAACGCGUGAAGUAGACCGCCUGGGGAGUGCGGUCGCAAGAUUAAAACUCAAAGGAAUUGACGGGGACCCGCACAAGCGGUGGAUGAUGUGGAUUAAUUCGAUGCAACGCGAAAAACCUUACCUACCCUUGACAUGGCUGGAAUCCUUGAGAGAUCAGGGAGUGCUCGAAAGAGAACCAGUACACAGGUGCUGCAUGGCUGUCGUCAGCUCGUGUCGUGAGAUGUUGGGUUAAGUCCCGCAACGAGCGCAACCCUUGUCAUUAGUUGCUACGAAAGGGCACUCUAAUGAGACUGCCGGUGACAAACCGGAGGAAGGUGGGGAUGACGUCAAGUCCUCAUGGCCCUUAUGGGUAGGGCUUCACACGUCAUACAAUGGUACAUACAGAGCGCCGCCAACCCGCGAGGGGGAGCUAAUCGCAGAAAGUGUAUCGUAGUCCGGAUUGUAGUCUGCAACUCGACUGCAUGAAGUUGGAAUCGCUAGUAAUCGCGGAUCAGCAUGUCGCGGUGAAUACGUUCACGGGUCU
rnacentral:rRNA from 1 species